rnacentral:rRNA from 1 species
GACAGAGGAUGCAAGCGUUAUCCGGAAUGAUUGGGCGUAAAGCGUCUGUAGGUGGCUUUUUAAGUCCGCCGUCAAAUCCCAGGGCUCAACCCUGGACAGGCGGUGGAAACUACCAAGCUGGAGUACGGUAGGGGCAGAGGGAAUUUCCGGUGGAGCGGUGAAAUGCGUAGAGAUCCGGAGGAAGACCGGUGGCGAAGGCGGCCUGCUGGGCAGUUUCUGACACUGAGGCGCGACAGCGUGGGGAGCAAACAGG